AACUCACAAUUUCGGGCGAGAAAAUUCCCCAAUUUUUCCUUUCCACUUUCUCGAAGGCCAAACAGAAAAGAAAAAAACUGUGAGCAAUGAGGAAGCUGAGCAGAAAAUUAAGAAAUUCACAGGACGCCGAGUUCUCUCUUUCUACUUGCGACGAUCCCGCUCUCAACGAUUCUCGCCCCAUGGAUAAUCGAGCGUUAUCAUGCUUACUUCAUGGAGGAGGUGCACUCAUGGAUGAUUAUAUCUGCAGAUUGGCCAGCUGUUGUAGCAUGUUCAUCAGCAAUCAUAGGAUUACUUCAUGAUUCAAAGUAUCACCGGUGAUGGAUUUGAUACUCACCCUUUACUGGCAUCGUACUCACGGUUUCUGGUUGUAUUACAUGUUGAGAUUGCCAAGGUGGUUCUGCUGGGGUGUAAUUUGGCUUCCUUUUGAACCUCUAAGCGGAGCAAGACUGACUUUGUACGUUGAGCUUUUACAUUGACUCGAGAAUGUCAAGGAUAAAAGAACACAAGGGUCAGCUAUAUUCGUACAAGCUUGAUCCUCAAACUGUUUCAAUCGCAUGGAAAAAUCCCGGUUGAAAUCUAAGGCUACAAACACUGGGGAUCUGCAGGCUUCACGGCAGCACGAGAUUAUCAUAAAAAAAAAACCCAAGGGAAUUGCUUAGAGAGUAAUUUUGAACAAUAUUUUCAUGUAAAUUCUGUAACACAAACAACUAGAGUGAGGGUGAUGAGAGGAUGUUGGUUGAGUUACGUUUUGAAGCAAACAAUCAUUGUUUAAACAGCCGGGGGAGAAGGCGUU